UACGAAGGGUGCAAGCGUUACUCGGAAUUACUGGGCGUAAAGCGUGCGUAGGCGGUUUGUUAAGUCCGCUGUGAAAUCCCCGGGCUCAACCUGGGCACUGCAGUUGGAACUGGUAAGCUAGAGUAGGGUAGAGGGGUGUGGAAUUCCAGGUGUAGCGGUGAAAUGCGUAGAUAUCUGGAGGAACAUCAGUGGCGAAGGCGACACCCUGGACUCAUACUGACACUGAGGUGCGAAAGCGUGGGGAGCAAACAGG
rnacentral:rRNA from 1 species